rnacentral:rRNA from 1 species
UACGGAGGAUCCGAGCGUUAUCCGGAUUUAUUGGGUUUAAAGGGUGCGCAGGCGGGAGAUUAAGUCGGCGGUGAAAUUUUGCAGCUCAACUGUAAAAGUGCCUUCGAAACUGGUUUCCUUGAGUGUAGAUGAAGUAGGCGGAAUUUGUGGUGUAGCGGUGAAAUGCAUAGAUAUCACGAGGAACUCCGAUUGCGAAGGCAGCUUACUAAGCUACUACUGACGCUCAGUCACGAAGGCGUGGGGAUCAAACAGGAUUAGAUACCCCCGUACGU